rnacentral:rRNA from 1 species
GCAGUCGACGGCAGCGCGGGGCACCUGGCGGCGAGUGGCGAACGGGUGAGUAAUAUAUCGGAACGUACCCAAGAGUGGGGGAUAACGUAGCGAAAGUUACGCUAAUACCGCAUACGAUCCAAGGAUGAAAGUGGGGGAUUCGCAAGAACCUCGUGCUCCUGGAGCGGCCGAUAUCUGAUUAGCUAGUUGGUGAGGUAAAGGCUCACCAAGGCGACGAUCAGUAGCUGGUCUGAGAGGACGACCAGCCACACUGGAACUGAGACACGGUCCAGACUCCUACGGGAGGCAGCAGUGGGGAAUUUUGGACAAUGGGCGCAAGCCUGAUCCAGCAAUGCCGCGUGAGUGAAGAAGGCCUUCGGGUUGUAAAGCUCUUUUGUCAGGGAAGAAACGGCCUAGGCUAAUAUCUUGGGCUAAUGACGGUACCUGAAGAAUAAGCACCGGCUAACUACGUGCCAGCAGCCGCGGUAAUACGUAGGGUGCAAGCGUUAAUCGGAAUUACUGGGCGUAAAGCGUGCGCAGGCGGUUUUGUAAGUCUGAUGUGAAAUCCCCGGGCUCAACCUGGGAAUUGCAUUGGAGACUGCAAGGCUAGAAUCUGGCAGAGGGGGGUAGAAUUCCA